AAUGCUGUGUUUUUAUACUUUUUAAAGCACAUGGUAUUAUUUCUUACACUGAAUGACAACUGAAAAUGAUUUGUUAUUUCUCAUACUUCUAUAGUAUAACACUGUGUUCUAUCCAGGCGCAAUGCAGCAAGAUUCCAGCGACCAAACUAUUUUUAUGUCCACACUGCCAGUGAAAAUGUCCCCCGUUCUUUGUCAGUGUUUGAUGUUUAAUAUACAUAGGGAGCAGGAUUUUGGUUCAACAGUCUUUCAGUGUGAGCAUGGCUACCAGCACAUUGCUGCAGAAAUAUUUACACAAUGUAACAAUGUAAGAGAUAGAUAGCUUUUAUCACUUGUUGCUUUGUAUAAAUAUUUCUGCAGCAAU